rnacentral:rRNA from 1 species
UGACCUCAAAUCAGGUAGGACUACCGGCUGAACUUAA